AUCACUCUCGUCCGUCGCCGUCGCCGCAUGGUUCGUAUCGGUUUGCAUAUGUCGUCUAGAAUUUGGAAUUGACGAAGCAUCCAGAAGCAUCGAAGAAUUAUAAUAUUGGAAGUGGAAGUGAACAAAGUUUUCUGCCAAUUUGAAUAAACAUAGUAUUAAUUAAAUAAAUAGUACACAUAAAAACCAAAUAGUGUAGAAAAUACUAGGCAUAAUGCCGUGGAUGAUAAUAAAAUUUAAUAAAGAAAAUAAAGUUGACGCUGUACUCACAACGUGGUAUAAUAAGCAAAAUAAGCAAUGUUAUUGGCCGCUCAAGAAAAUAAGCCAUAAAAUUGCCGAAUUUAUAAAAAAUCAACGUGAACCUGAUGAAUCGUGGAAAUUAUUUGACGCAACGCUUUUGGGCGCUUACGGUAGAUAUUAAAACGAUUAAAAUAAAUUGAUAAUUUUUUUCUCACCUACUGAUUUAAAUUAUUAAUAUUUACCCAUUUUGAUUCUCUGAAAGUUAAUACCACGGGAAAAUUUCAAGAGGCGUCUAAAUUAGCUUAAACUUUUUAAAUUUUAAUAAAUUUUUAAUUAAUUAUAAAGCGCUCUGUUGCUUUUUUAGAUAUAAGUUUGUGACAUGACAGUAUUUUUGAGAAAUUGUUCAAAAUUUGUUAGUUUAUUUGUUCUUUUAAUUAAUUAUUAACUUUGUAGCAUGAGCUAUAACAUUUCACUGUAAUUAAAUUACAAAUAUUAGUAAAUAUAAUUAAAUCAAAAAUUUUAAUUGACAUUUUUAUUUUCAUAUUUAAUAUAAGUUAUUAAAAAAAAUAUGAGUCAUAAAUAUAUGUAAAACUAUUAUUCAGUAUAUUUUGUUGAGGGCAUUAAAUUAAACAGAAACAUUAAAUUUUUGCUUCUGUGUUUUUAUUACACAAAAAUAAAUUAAUAUUAUGUACAAAUAUGCUGAGUCAAUACGCAUAAAAUUUUAAGUGAAAAAUAUUCAUUAAAAAAACAUUUGAAUCUGAGAGAUAACUUGAUUUUAGUGAAUUUCUUUGUAUUAUAAAAUUAUUAUUUUUCUAGAUUUAUUUUAUAUCAGGGGUCUUCAGGACUUAAAAGGACUAUUAGUUAGUAACAGACUCACCUAAACAAAAACAAUUCCUUAAAAAUACUUUUAAGAGUCAUAAAUUUAUAUCUAAUGUCGAAAUAAAAAAAAUAAAAAUCUAAAUAAUGUGUAAAUAUAUAGAGAAAAUAAAAAUCAAUAUUAAAAUUUAAAUCAGUAGAAAUAAGAAAAACUUUUUAAUAUUCAUUUAUGUAUUUAUUUAUUUAUCAAUAUUGUUUUAUUUACAAAUUUAGAUGAUUUUGGAUACGUUUAACAUAAAGCUAAAAAAGCGCAAACAACCGAUCUUUUAACCUCUAACGACGAAUCUCUAGUUUCAAGAAAAAAAAAUGCACAAAAAAAUCUGAAAAGUUACGAGUCUCUCCUAUAUCUAGUAGCAGUGACACUGGAGACUUCUGACAAUGAUUUGAAUAAAUAUCCAGUUCAAUUUGAUAAUUUUGAUGGUAUAAUUCUAUAAUCUACUUCUAAUAUUUAUUUAUAUUCAUAUUAAUAUGUAUUAAUAAGUCUAGUAUAUUAAUUAAAUUAUUGUUUAUAUCAUUGUUUAAGUUUCCACAAACAAGAAACGCAUGGUACGAAAAAAUGAACAUAAUACAAGCUUUAUUGAAAUUGAUAAAGCUAUAUCAGAACGUGAGGAAAAGCAGUAUAAUGAAAAUACAAUUGCUCGAAUUACAAGGUAAACCAAAAUUCUCUUAUAUUUUUAUGCAAUAUAUUUAUUUUGAAUUGAUUGCGAUGCUUGAAUAUGAUUUGUUUAAUUACAGAGUGUCAAAAGCAAUAUCUAAAAGAUAUAAAUCUCCUGCAUUUAAAAAUUGAUGUAAUUUCUGAGUCAGUUUUUUCAUUGGUAAAAAUGCAAAAACAAUAGUAAAACCCACCAGCUUGCUAAGUGAGCAACUGCCAAUAAUAAACUUAUUUCCUAUGGAUUCGGAAGGAUUAAAUCAAGUAGAGGAGUGGCUACAAAACGAACAAAACAAACAGAACUUGGUAUUUAAGAAACUUAGUAUUUACGAAAACUUCAUGAGUGUCUACAAAACUACAAUUUCUUUUCUUACAGGUGGCAGAAUUAAGCAAAAUGGGCGGACCAACCGUGAAGGAGGUUGUGAAGCGAGUUAUGUAUCGAUUAUUUCAAAAUUCCCUAGGCAUGGAGUACUCCUGGGAAGGAAAAAAAAAAGAAAUAAGUUUUUAAAUCACUUUUGAUUUCUUCAAUAAUUAUGGAUGUUGUUCGCGCAAAUAAAAAUACAGCAGAUUGUCGCGAAUACGAGGUUAUCGUGAUAAUAAAGUCAUGGCUCGUUAGAAGCAAGGAACGUUUUCAUAAUGACAUAACGACUCCAAGGAACGAUGCACCGAAACAGGCACAAACUGAACCAAAGAAAACACAGACUGCAUCAAAGAAGGCACAGACUAAACAAAAAAAAACGCACUGAUUGAACCGAAAGAAACUGAACAGGAAGAAACAUCUAUUGAACGGACUUUACCGAAUGAAGAACGAAGAGAUGAGUAACCCUUUGUUUUAUAUGUCUUCUAACUUUUUUAUUUAAUUUUUGUUCUUAAAAAAUUUUAUGUUUUUUUUACGUUUAUAACGUUUACAAUGUUAA
rnacentral:lncRNA from 1 species